GUGCCAAAUGUCGCAAUGGUAGG
rnacentral:siRNA from 1 species